rnacentral:rRNA from 1 species
AUUGAACGCUGGCGGCAGGCCUAACACAUGCAAGUCGAGCGGAUGAAAGGAGCUUGCUCCUGGAUUCAGCGGCGGACGGGUGAGUAAUGCCUAGGAAUCUGCCUGGUAGUGGGGGAUAACGUCCGGAAACGGGCGCUAAUACCGCAUACGUCCUGAGGGAGAAAGUGGGGGAUCUUCGGACCUCACGCUAUCAGAUGAGCCUAGGUCGGAUUAGCUAGUUGGUGGGGUAAAGGCCUACCAAGGCGACGAUCCGUAACUGGUCUGAGAGGAUGAUCAGUCACACUGGAACUGAGACACGGUCCAGACUCCUAAGGGAGGCAGCAGUGGGGAAUAUUGGGCAAUGGGCGAAAGCCUGAUCCAGCCAUGCCGAGUGUGUGAAGAAGGUCUUCGGAUUGUAAAGCACUUUAAGUUGGGAGGAAGGGCAGUAAGUUGAUACCUUGCUGUUUUGACGGUACCAACAGAAUAAGCACCGGCUAACUUCGUG